rnacentral:tRNA from 1 species
GGGGAUGUAGCUCAGCUGGUAGAGCGUCGGCGUGGCACGCCGAAGGCCAGGGGUUCGAGUCCCCUCUUCUCCA